UACAGAGGUCCCAAGCGUUGUUCGGAUUCACUGGGCGUAAAGGGUGCGUAGGUGGUGGGGUAAGUCGGAUGUGAAAGCUCGGAGCUCAACUCCGAAAUGGCAUUGGAAACUACCCUGCUAGAGGAUUGGAGGGGGGACUGGAAUACUUGGUGUAGCAGUGAAAUGCGUAGAUAUCAAGAGGAACACCAGUGGCGAAGGCGAGUCCCUGGACAAAACCUGACACUGAGGCACGAAAGCUAGGGGAGCAAACAGG
rnacentral:rRNA from 1 species